rnacentral:rRNA from 1 species
GACGAACGCUGGCGGCGUGCUUAACACAUGCGAGUCGAACGGAAAGGCCCUGCUUUUGUGGGGUGCUCGAGUGGCGAACGGGUGAGUAACACGUGAGUAACCUGCCCUUGACUUUGGGAUAACUUCAGGAAACUGGGGCUAAUACCGGAUAGGAGCUCCUGCUGCAUGGUGGGGGUUGGAAAGUUUCGGCGGUUGGGGAUGGACUCGCGGCUUAUCAGCUUGUUGGUGGGGUAGUGGCUUACCAAGGCUUUGACGGGUAGCCGGCCUGAGAGGGUGACCGGCCACAUUGGGACUGAGAUACGGCCCAGACUCCUACGGGAGGCAGCAGUGGGGAAUAUUGCACAAUGGGCGGAAGCCUGAUGCAGCAACGCCGCGUGCGGGAUGACGGGCUUCGGGUUGUAAACCGCUUUCGCCUGUGACGAAGCGUGAGUGACGGUAAUGGGUAAAGAAGCACCGGCUAACUACGUG